AAGGAAUUGACGGGGGCCCGCACAAGCGGUGGAGUAUGUGGUUUAAUUCGAUGCAACGCGAAGAACCUUACCUGGUCUUGACAUCCCGGAGACCCUUAGGAAACUAGGGGGUGCUUCCAUCUGGAAGAAUCUGGAGACAGGUGCUGCAUGGCUGUCGUCAGCUCGUGUCGUGAGAUGUUGGGUUAAGUCCCGCAACGAGCGCAACCCUUGCCUUUAGUUGCCAGCAGUUCGGCUGGGCACUCUAAAGGGACUGCCGGUGUUAAACCGGAGGAAGGUGGGGAUGACGUCAAGUCCUCAUGGCCUUUAUGACCAGGGCUACACACGUACUACAAUGGCCGAUACAAAGGGCAGCGACACUGCGAGGUGAAGCCAAUCCCGUAAAAUCGGUCUCAGUCCGGAUUGGAGUCUGCAACUCGACUCCAUGAAGUUGGAAUCGCUAGUAAUCGUGGAUCAGCAUGCCACGGUGAAUACGUUCCCGGGCCUU
rnacentral:rRNA from 1 species